rnacentral:rRNA from 1 species
UGGGGAAUUUUGGACAAUGGGCGAAAGCCUGAUCCAGCAAUGCCGCGUGUGUGAAGAGGGCCUUCGGGUUGUAAAGCACUUUUGUCCGGAAAGAAAUCCUUGGCUCUAAUACAGUCGGGGGAUGACGGUACCGGAAGAAUAAGCACCGGCUAACUACGUGCCAGCAGCCGCGGUAAUACGUAGGGUGCAAGCGUUAAUCGGAAUUACUGGGCGUAAAGCGUGCGCAGGCGGUUUGCUAAGACCGAUGUGAAAUCCCGGGCUCAACCUGGGAACCGCAUUGGUGACUGGCAGGCUAGAGUAUGGCAGAGGGGGGUAGAAUUCCACGUUAGCAGUGAAAUGCGUAGAGAUGUGGAGGAAUACCGAUGGCGAAGGCAGCCCCCUGGGCCAAUACUGACGCUCAUGCACGAAAGCGUGGGGAGCAAACAGGAUUAGAUACCCUGGUAGUCCACGCCCUAAACGAUGUCAACUAGUUGUUGGGGAUUCAUUUCCUUAGUAACGUAGCUAACGCGUGAAGUUGACCGCCUGGGGAGUACGGUCGCAAGAUUAAAAACUCAAAUGAAUUGACGGGGUC